rnacentral:siRNA from 1 species
AGUACUGAAGGUUGUCAAUCCAAA